rnacentral:rRNA from 1 species
GAUGAACGCUAGCGGCAGGCCUAACACAUGCAAGUCGAGGGGUAACAUAGAAAAGCUUGCUUUUCUGAUGACGACCGGCGCACGGGUGCGUAACGCGUAUACAACCUACCUUUUAGCGGGGAAUAGCCCAGGGAAACUUGGAUUAAUGCCUCAUAGUAUAUAAGCUUCUCCUGAAGUUUAUAUUAAACAUUUAUGGCUAUUAGAUGGGUAUGCGUCCUAUUAGUUAGUUGGUAAGGUAACGGCUUACCAAGGCAGCGAUAGGUAGGGGUCCUGAGAGGGAGAUCCCCACACUGGUACUGAGACACGGACCAGACUCCUACGGGAGGCAGCAGUGAGGAAUAUUGGACAAUGGGCGAGAGACUGAUCCAGCCAUGCCGCGUGCAGGAAGACUGCCCUAUGGGUUGUAAACUGCUUUUACAGAGGAAGAACCACCCCCACGUGUGGGGGUUUGACGGUACUCUGCGAAUAAGGAUCGGCUAACUCCGUG